CCUUGUGGAGGAGGACGCCGAAGGUGGGGCUAAUGACUGGGGUGAAGUCGUAACAAGGUAGCCGUACCGGAAGGUGCGGCUGGAUCACCUCCUAACAGGGAGACAACAAAAUGUUAAAUAUUAAUUUUGUCACCUUAGGUCGAUCGGUAUCUCAGGUUCUUAAAUACUUUAAGAAUUUCAUUUCCUAAGUUUUUUCUAGGUCACACCCAUUACUUUCCCUGGGCCAUUAGCUCAGGUGGUUAGAGCGCACCCCUGAUAAGGGUGAGGUCCCUGGUUCAAGUCCAGGAUGGCCCAUAUCUCUAUGUUGGGGGUAUAGCUCAGUUGGUAGAGCGCCUGCUUUGCAAGCAGGAUGUCAGCGGUUCGAGUCCGCUUACCUCCACUGAUUACCACCUCUUCCAUAAAUUUAAAGAAGGGAAUAGUUAUGAGCGUUGAUUUACUUCUGAACGAAUCUAGCUUCCUAAUAAAUACAUUAAGAUGCUGGACUCAUUGAAUUUUAUUCAUUGUUUUCAGAGAACCUUGACAACUGCAUAGAUUAUUUUUAAAGACAAUAAGCAUCUUUAAUGAUGCAGAUUUAUUAUUUGUGCUAAUGCAUUAAUAACAAUUCUAUUGAGCUGAUGCUUCAAUUAUUUGAAGUUAUUGGUCAAGCUACAAAGGGCUCACGGAGGAUACCUAGGCACACAGAGGCGAUGAGGUCAU
rnacentral:misc_RNA from 1 species